ACGCUGGCGGCGUGCCUAACACUAUGCAAGUCGAGCGGUAAGGCCCCUUCGGGGGUACACGAGCGGCGAACGGGUGAGUAACGCGUGGGUAACCUACCCAGAAGUGGGGGAUAGCCUCGGGAAACCGGGGGUAAUACCGCAUGUGUCCCAGACGACAUAAGUCGAUUGGGAGAAAGGCGGGGAUCUUCGGACCUGUCGCUUCUGGAUGGGCCCGCGUCCGAUUAGCUUGUUGGUGAGGUAACGGCUCACCAAGGCAUCGAUCGGUAGCCGGCCUGAGAGGGUGAACGGCCACAUUGGGACUGAGACACGGCCCAGACUCCUACGGGAGGCAGCAGUGGGGAAUAUUGGGCAAUGGGCGCAAGCCUGACCCAGCGACGCCGCGUGGAGGAUGAAGGCCUUCGGGUUGUAAACUCCUGUCAGGUGGGAAGAAAUGCCCGUCGGUGAAUAGCCGACGGGAGUUGACGGUACCACCAAAGGAAGCCCCGGCUAACUCCGUGCCAGCAGCCGCGGUAAUACGGAGGGGGCAAGCGUUAUUCGGAUUUACUGGGCGUAAAGAGCACGUAGGCGGCCAGGCAUGUCGACGGUGAAAGCCCUCGGCUCAACCGAGGAACUGCCUUCGAAACUGCCUGGCUUGAGUCCGGGAGAGGGGAGCGGAAUUCCCAGUGUAGCGGUGAAAUGCGUAGAUACUGGGAGGAACACCAGUGGCGAAGGCGGCUCCCUGGACCGGUACUGACGCUGAGGUGCGAAAGCGUGGGUAGCAAACAGGA
rnacentral:rRNA from 1 species